rnacentral:rRNA from 1 species
UACAGAGACUGCAAGCGUUACUCGGAUUCACUGGGCGUAAAGGGAGCGCAGGCGGAACGGUGUGUCGGGUGUGAAACCUUGGAGCUCAACUCCAAGACUGCGCCCGAAACUGCCGUUCUAGGGACUCGGAGGGGCUAGUGGAAUUCCUGGUGGAGCAGUGAAAUGCGUGGAUAUCAGGAGGAACACCAACGGCGAAGGCAGCUAGCUGGACGAGAUCCGACGCUCAGGCUCGAAAGUAUGGGGAGCAAAAAGG